GAUGAACGCUGGCGGCGUGCCUAAUACAUGCAACUCGAGCGAACGGACGAGAAACUAGAUACACUGACGUAAAAAACAGAAAGGUGACUCACACGUGGCACACCAAACAACAAAAAUGGCACACAAACGGGAAACCGACGCUAAUACCGGAUGAUAUUUUGAACCGCAUGGUUCAAAAGUGAAAGACGGUCUUGCUGUCACUUAUAGAUGGAUCCGCGCUGCAUUAGCUAGUUGGUAAGGUAACGGCUUACCAAGGCAACUGUGCAUAGCCGACCUGAGAGUUGUUGGUUGCGUACGUGUGCUGAGACACGGUCCAGACUCCUACGGGAGGCAGCAGUAGGGAAUCUUCCGCAAUGGUCGAAAGCCUGACGGAGCAACGCCGCGUGAGUGAUGAAGGUCUUCGGAUCGUAAAACUCUGUUAUUAGGGAAUAACAUAUGUGUAAGUAACUGUGCACAUCUUGACGGUACCUAAUCAGAAAGCCACGGCUAACUACGUG
rnacentral:rRNA from 1 species